AUGAACGCUAGCGACAGGCUUAACACAUGCAAGUCAGGGGUAACAGGGUAGCAAUACCGCUGACGACCGGCGCACGGGUGAGUAACGCGUAUGCAACCUGCCUAUAACUGUGGAAUAGCUCCCUGAAAGGGGGAAUUAACACCGCAUAACACUAUUGAUUCGCAUGGAUUGGUAGUUAAAUGUAGCGAUACAGGUUAUAGAUGGGCAUGCGUGACAUUAGCUAGUUGGUGAGGUAACGGCUCACCAAGGCUACGAUGUCUAGGGGUUCUGAGAGGAAGGUCCCCCACACUGGUACUGGGACACGGACCAGACUCCUACGGGAGGCAGCAGUGAGGAAUAUUGGUCAAUGGGCGCAAGCCUGAACCAGCCAUGUCGCGUGCAGGAAGACUGCCCCUAUGGGUUGUAAACUGCUUUUAUAGUAGAAGAAACACAUCUACGUGUAGAUGUCUGCCAGUAUACUAUGAAUAAGCAUCGGCUAACUCCGUGCCAGCAGCUGC
rnacentral:rRNA from 1 species